UACACACAUAAUGUAAUUCACACACACACUCACAUAUACUGUGCACCCACAUGUACUGUACUGUAUUCUUGCAUAAUACAGUAUUGUACACUACUGAUAACAUCAAAAUUUAAAAUACUGUCGUAAAAACAAUAAUAAAUGAUAAAAUUGGAUCACAUGAAUAUUAGCCCUCAGCUUGUCACCUGAUGAUUGACCACCCUACCUGGGAGUUAUGUUAAGUUGUUUAAUUAUUGGGAAAUAAACUUGGGGCUUAUCUUCAGGUGAUCAACAAGCUUUAAGUCACUGAGGCUAUAUUAAAGUAUCUAGAAAUGUCACAGUAUUUGUGGACGUGUAUAAGAAAAGUGUCGACCUUGGUAACGACAAACAGCAGCGUACAGUAAACUUUUCUCACUAGAAAUGUCAUAAAGAGCUCCCCCCCCCCACCCACACAACCAUGAAGCGUAACAAGUACAGUACAGUACAGUACAGUACAUCACACACACACUGGGAAUACAUUAAAUUUCACUCAUCACAAUUUCUCGAUAGUUUAGAAACAUUUCUAAUGACAGGAUGGCUUUUAAUCCAUUGAGUGGCAGGGGAUCACGUGAAGAUUGACCCCCCAACUAAUUUCACCUUAAGAUUAACCUAACAUUCCUGGUAGUAUUAGGGUAAAUAAUAAUUAAGCUUGGGUGUCUAAUCUUCAGGUGAGCCCAUGUACCCGGUGGUAAGUGUUGUACAAUAUAACUGUACCUCAUUAACAUUAUUCAUGCCCUAACCUGAGUCCUGUGACAGUAUCUUGAUGAACACCUGAUACAGUCAAAUUAACAAUAGUUUAAGUAACGGGUCUCAAAAGAUGACUUAAACUCACGUCACAUCAAUUAUUUAUCACACAUACAGUCACCCUAUGCAGCUCUGUACACUAAACUUAUUGCAGCAUUUAAUAACAUUAUAUUACACAAAACUAAAGUAUAAUAACAAAACCUAAUCAAUUAAUUUAUCUACAUUACUCUAUAAAUAAUGAUACAAUUAUAAGUGUUGAGCUGCGCAAUGGUCAUAGGUUUUGUUACAUCGUCUUGGCCACUCAGUACUAUACGGCUCUCGUCGGUUUAAGCAGAGAAUUGUGGUCUCUCUUAUUUUUCACUAUCUAAGAGAGACUAAAUAAGAACAAUUUAUAAUGAAAACGUGUGUAAAGAAAAUAUUAAGUGAUAAUGGUGACAGAACAAGAAAAAUAUGAAGACAAGUUGUUAUAGUGACCAAAAGACAGCCUCUUAUUACAGUACAGCCGGGUGAACUAAGGCGGGGGGCUGAUCUUCAGGUGAUCCAUCAUAACCAGAGGAAGAGUUACGUUGGUCCCGGAUGCUGAGAGAUGAUGACGUCACCCGGCACGAUAGUUUGGACUCAGAUUGGCAAGGGGCGACCGAACUGAAGCAUCUCAGGGGGCACUACUCAGCCGAGUGUCCUUACUUGGAACUGGCGGACGCUCGCCCCACAAGGGGUCACAGCUCAAGA